rnacentral:tRNA from 1 species
GAAAGAGGCCUGAGGCACUAAGGAUUGCUAACCCCUACCCCCACGGUUAAAUUCCGUGGCUCAUUCAC